rnacentral:lncRNA from 1 species
AAACUCAGUUGUUCCAGAGAUCUUUUAAAUGAUUUUGUGGAAAAACAACAGCACAACAACCUUUUUGAAAGUAAUUAAGAGGCAAGCAACUACCCAAAGAAAAUACAAACUUCAAGGUUCUUCGCUACGGAAGAAAAAGUUAUUACUCUUCUGUGCUAUCACUGAGAAAGGAUUAAUUCUACAUCCUGAGAAGCUUCUCCAUAUGCUUGUGAUGAGUAUGAACCCCCAGUCUUCUGAACAGCAUGGCCUGGUGUCUGAGAUGCCUGUCCAUUCUAAGUGGCAGAAUAUUUUGCAGACACCUAAAAAGACUUCCUGAAUCCUCAGAAAGAAGAGUGAUUCCACUCAUAUGUUUAUCUCCAAGUUGCAUGAUACGUGGCAUAAAACUUCUGUC